GCAUUAAUGGGGUAGUGGUAACCUGGGUCGUUGCCAUAGACAUAUAGCUUCUACUGCGGUUUUCAUAUCGACCCGCCGGGGGUUCGAUUCCCUCUUAAUGCA